UGUUUUUAUCCUUAUUCUUACCCCACAUAAGUCCAGGGCAAAUAGCCAGGCUGACCUCAAAAUCACAGCGAUUCUCCUGCCCCAGCCUCCUGAGCGCUGGGUUUACAGGCAUGCACCACCAUGCCCGGCUGGUUUCUGAACUCUGUCCUUGGCCUGACUUUCGACAUCCUCAAAUUUCUCCUUUUCUUUUGCUGGCUUCCUUCCUCUAUCUUUCAAAUCUUCCUUUCUCAAACCCUUAUUAAGAUGCUGCUUCUCUACUCAGCCAGGGUUGGUGGUGCCCGCCUAUAAUACUAGCACUCAGAAAGCCGAGGCAGGAGGAUCACUGUGAGUUCAAGGCCAGCCUGGGCUACAUAGCAAGACCCGACCCUGUCUCACCCCCUCAAACCCAAACAAAAGAAAGAUCCUGCUUCUUUCCUCUCAGCUGAUAACAUGGUCUUAUUAUUGACUUAUUUUUUAGUUUUUGAGACAAAGUCUCACUUUGUAUUCCAGGCUGAUGUUAAACUUGUGAGAAUCCUCCUGCCUCAGCCUCCUGAGUGCUAGGAUGCUGGCAAAAUGUACCCAUCAUGAAUAUCCCUUAGUUACAAUGUCGAGCCCGGCCAAAAUUUCAAACCAACCACACACCAGGCUACCCCACCAGCCAAGCCCAGGGAGAGCUGCAGGAGUCACCUCACGCAGCAGCGAAGGCUGCAAGCACAGAACUUCUCCCACGAACACAGGGCCCGAAGCCCUCGGCGGAUUUCCCGACAGUUGUGGACUACUCACCGGGUACCCUCCCUAAGGGCCACAGCCCUGGGCUCCCCGCGGGUGGGUGGGCUGCAGAGGAGCUUGGCGACACCAAGGCUUACCUGGACCAGUUCGAGCUUCUCAGUCGGAUCCGCCGCUGUUGGCAGAGCCGCGGGUCCCAACUGGCAUUUCCAUGCGCUGCGCCCCAGCCAACCGUUCCAUUUGCGAUCGCCGGCUGGGCUCCGCGCCUGGACCUUACAACUGAAAAGGAACUCCUUAUUGAAAAGGAAAAAUAAGUCCAAGCGCAAUAAAUUUCAAUCGUCAAUCAUGGGCCUCUUACCUUUUUCUGUGGCUAUGAAGGCGGCCUUUCCGCCGAGGGACCCGGAGCCUGCGGUAGAGUCAGGGUUGUUUCACAGCCGGGCUUCGGUGUUGUGGCAAUGUCUCAGAGCUUUGGGAGCCCUGUUUAAUAAGCACAGAAAAAUGAUUCUGCAAAUGACGGCCACACCAGACACCUAGCGGUGCCUCAUUAUUUUUGUUGAUUUAUCUGGAAGUCCCGGGGGUCAG
rnacentral:lncRNA from 1 species